GUUGAGAAGGGGUGGGAAAUGAACUCCCGACUCCACUGAAUCCUGUCCCAGGCUCUGGGAGCGAAGUGACAUUCCCAUGGGGCCCUGCUGGCCCCACUCCCAGAGAGGCCUUGUGUUUGCAUUGGACUGUACCCCACAUCCCUUCACAUUUCCAGGUCCCACAUUCGGAAGUUCAGUGUGCAAGGCUGGCUCAGGAGCAGAAACAGGGUCUCCCACAUACCGAACCAACCAGCAUCUGGAGGACCAUCUCACCAAUUCCUGCCCCUGUCACCAGCACCGUGGUCGCACAGCCUAACCAAAAGAGAAGGAUUUGGGUUAGUAAAAGCAAGACCAUAACUCUCCCUGUGCAACCUGCUGGUCUUUGAACUUGGAAUUUUUGUCACACAAAAUGCCAGCUGUGGGCCAGCAGACAUCGCCACCCGGAAUCGAAAACAGGAAAGAGAAGUGUACUGCUUCUGCGUGGCCUGACGUCACAUGACACAGGAUGUCCUCGGUGUAGGCCAGCAUGCUGGGGAAGGUGCUGCUGAGGAACAGGCCCAGGCUGGCUGUCCCCACGAACAGGAAGGCGACGUUGUAGGAGAAAACAAGAAGCACCAGGAAGGUCACCACCACGCCCACCUGUAACCGCGGGGAUGGAGGAGAUUAGCAACGAAGGGGCUGCGGGGCGGGGGGAUCGCAGGGCUUCAGGCUCCAGAAAGGUCCUCCCUGACCCCAGAGCAGCGCUGCGUGACCAGGACGCCUCCCUGUGGGCUCCACGGGCACUGCGCCUCGCAGCCUCGCUCCUGGUGCCGCCAAGGAAGCCCUGGGAACUAGGACCGCUCAGGAGGAGCCACCCAGACCGCGGGGCAGAUGGCCUGCCAUCCACGCGGAGAAGUGGAGGAGCGUGGCGAGGGGUACCGCCUGGCCCAAGGCCCUAUCUGGGAGCACGGGGAGUUCCAGCCAAGGCACCAGCUCUCUGCCCUCCACUAUCAUCGAGAGGAGCUGCUUUUCUUGCCCUAAAAGCCAUGAGUUCCCAGAGGAAGCCCAGGGGUAGCAGGAGAGGCUGGCAGGGCUGGGGGUGGUAGGAAGGGUGGGUGGUGGGGUCCCCACCCUCAGAGAAUCCAGGCACACCGCCCAGAGGGAGGCUCAGUGGCUAUGGCAGCCUCCCCCAGGUCCAGCUCAGACCGCCCUGAGCAGAUUCCACCCCCUGGUUAGAGGCGCCUGGGAUGAGCUCAGGGACCAGAGAUCUUUCUAGUUCAGCAAGGGUCUCUGUCACAGGGGAAUAUUUUUGUUUGAUCAUGCUUUUCCUAAAUUCCUUAAAAAUGUUUUUAUGUUAA